UACGUAGGGUGCGAGCGUUGUCCGGAAUUAUUGGGCGUAAAGGGCUCGUAGGCGGUUUGUCGCGUCGGGAGUGAAAACUCAGGGCUUACUCUGAGCCUGCUUCCGAUACGGGCAGACUAGAGGUAUGCAGGGGAGAACGGAAUUCCUGGUGUAGCGGUGAAAUGCGCAGAUAUCAGGAGGAACACCGGUGGCGAAGGCGGCAUCCUGGACCGACACUGACGCUGAGGAGCGAAAGCCAGGGGAGCAAACGGG
rnacentral:rRNA from 1 species